rnacentral:lncRNA from 1 species
AGCGAGUCCAGAAGGCCCCCUGCGCUCCUACUAAACUCGCUCCUGCUUUGCCCGCACCCCUGGGGCACCGAGCAGCCCCGGGGCGUCUUGAGCUGGCUGCAAACCCAGCUGGCUCCGAGGGCGACUCCUGAGCCGGGGCGAUGGGCGCCCCUCGGACAGCCCUAGAAACCCUCUCCAUUCCAGAGUGACACGCUGGGGGCGGGCUCCCAGCCUCUUUUUCUAAACUACAGAUCCGCCCCAGGAGGGCUCUGCCGGGGUCUGCAGCCCCAGGGAAGGUCGGGACUGCGGAGGCGCCGCUGGCCCGCUGGGAGGGGCAGCCGCCCAAGUCCCCCUCGCCGGCCCGCGCAGGGCCUCGGGCCUCAUCCCAGAGGAGCGCCCCAGAUCACGAUCCUCAAGCCCCGCCAGGGCUCCCGCCCCAGGGCAGCGCCCUGGACCUCCGCCCCGCGUCGGCGGUGCGAGACUAAGUUAAAGACGCUCCUAGGAGAAGAAGCAGGAGGUCGACUUCUGGGUCUGAGCGCUGGAUGCGGCGCGGUGGCCACAAGCAGCUCAGGAAACCGGACCGUCUUCAUCUUACCUGACUACUCCACCCGGAACCAGCUUACUCCUGGGCCUCCUCCUGACCUCCUAGCGGCUGCCACCUCCGAAGUCCUUCCACCCACCCACCCAGCCCACUCUUUCUCCAGCUUGUCUCGAACAUCUUGUCUCCUGAGCACCUGUCACCUUGUUCCUGACCCCUCUACUUACCUAGGAGAGCCAGGAGACCAAACAGCAGGGUGACUUAGGCGCUCGAUGCAAGGACCAGCAUGGGCAAGCCAUGGAAGCAGAACUCCAGAGCAUCACCAGUGCCAUGUGGAGGAAAUGUAAUCUGCUCAGAUCCACGUGGUAAACUGAGGCAGCACAGAGCCUUUUACUCUGGGUUGAAGCCAAAAAGAAGAAAUGGUGUGGGCUGGCGAUUUGGCUCAGUGGUUCCGCCGCCUGCCUCACGAGUGCAAGGUCCCGAGUUUGAUCCUCGGUACCAAAAAAAAGAAGAAGAAAAAGAAGAAAUGGUGAGAGCCAGUCAGGCGGGGAAACAUCCAGAAGGUUGGUAACUCCCAGUGUUGGAAAGAGCAUGGGGAAAUGAACACUGUUUGGUUUGGUUUGGUUUUGAAGAUAGUUUAGCAGAAUCUGUCAAAGUUUAAAAUACAUGUAUCAGUUUGACCCAACACAUCUGAUAGGAUUCUCCCCUAUAGAAGCACCCAUACUUGGAUGGAGAAAAGCUACCCUUUUAACUAUAUUGUAGUAUUUUCAUGUCACUUAAUGUUUUGGCUUAGUUUUGAGGUUCUUUAGUUUGUUACUGGGAAUCAAACACAGGGCCUUGGGCAUGAUAGGUAAGUGCUCUACCACUAAGAUACAUCCCCAGCCCUAGAAUUUUUAUUUUUAUACUUAUUAAAAUAGCUUUUUUAGGAAGACUCAGAUGUGCUUUCUUUUUUAUCAUAUAUUCCUCUUGGCAGCCACUGCUUUCUGCUCAGCUUCUCAGCAUCUCAGUUACUUCCACCUACAAAUCAGCAAAAGCUUCUAGGAGGGAAGUGGCUCAGGCUAUCAAGCUCACCUCCAGGCCUUUCUCCUCUCACUUACAUCCUGGCCUCUUAACUCCUGGACUACCUUGAUAGCUCAUUGUUGUCUUCCAGCAGAAUUCUUUGUUUUGUUUUGUUUUAGUACUGGGGAAUUGAACACAGGGCCUUUGCACUGAACUAAAUUCCCAACUCUUUUUUGUUUUUGUUUUUGGUACCAGGGAUCGAACUCAGGUCCUUGCGCUUGUGCAGCAGGCAGUGAAACCACUGAGCUAAAUCCCUGGCCCCGCAACUCUUUUUAUUUUUAGAAAAGUUCUCCCUAAAUAGCUAAACUUCCAAGGCUGGGGGUCAUAGGUGACCCCCACCAUGUCUGCUAAAUUUUGCUUGUUCACAGUACAAAAAUUUUUCUUUUCAGUACCGGGAAUCAAACUCAGGACCUUGCAAUUGGCAGGCAACCACAGUACCACUGAGCUACAUCCCUGGCCCCUAUAGUUGCAAAUUUUCUAGCUACUACCAAUAGGAGGGUUUGAUAGAAGUGGAUACAUUCCUAUCUAGUAUGAGACCACACAACGUCCUCUGAAGGGGGCAUUUCUGACUAUGAAAGGGGGCACUAUUAAUAAUACUGAACCCGGGUAGGGGAUUUAGCUCAGGUGCUUGCCUCAUAAGCGCAAGGUCCUGAGUUCGAUUCCUAGUACCCAAAACAAAACAGUACUGAACCAACAAGCAGUAACUAUGACUCUCAGGCAAACUACAGCUCAUGGACACCCUAAUCAUUGAUAACUUCCUUUUUACUACCAUAAAUACAUAAUUAGGGAAAAUUUCCCUGUUAAGUUUUUUUUAAACUAUGGGAACACAGAUGGGAUGUGUACCAAUUCAGUGCUUCACCUUCUUUGCCCGGCUGGGGGAUCCUAGAAGUGGACCCUGAAAACAUGUGUCCUCUGUCAGCUGGUCGCACCAGUAAGCUUCACCAGAGCAGUGUUAGAGGCUCGCCGAGCAACCUUCUCUGCCUCAGCCCAGUACUUCUCUUCUGGCUCCUACAGCACAGCUGCCAGUGGGCGGCUUCCUGGUGGGGUUUUGCCAGCACCCAGCCCAGCCUGCAGUGGCACCUCAGCCAACUCCUCUGCCACCCACAGGGCCACUGGCACACCCUCCCCCUGGGAGUUCUGGAUCUCAGCCUAGGUGGGGAAGCAGUGGUUGCUUCUUUCUCUCCAUCAACCCUAGAGACAUUGUAAUGGCUGCUCCUUUUAACUCAUUCCUCUAAUCUUCAUUGCCAUUUGCUAGUUAACAAUUCUUUAAACUAGAUUUUUCCCUCUUCAAACGGGUGUGGUGUCCUGUCUCCUACUGGAUCCUGGCCGAUACACACAUUUGUUCUUUUCCCUUGUCAUUUGAGAACAAAAUCCCUCCAAACAUGGAUAGAGAACCUGGUACUAGGUGGUCACAAAUGUCAUACUUCGACAACACUUACCAUCGCCAGACACUGCUCCAAGACCUUUAUACCUAUUAACUCCAUCCUCACACCAACCCUUGCCACUACUAUGAAGGAAGUAGCAUGAGUGUUCCUUUCACUGAUGAUGAAAUUGUAACACAAGGAAGGGGUAUGAUUCACAAGGAUACCGUAAAGCUCAGAUUCAAAACCAGACCAGGUGGCUGAGAAGUCCAUGCCCUCAUAGUACAUAGAAUGCACUGCUUGUUUUGCCUCCUGUAGAGUGCCCGUCACUGGGAAAUGUUCCUCAGAGGUUACCCUCAAGAGCCCUGACCAGGGCUCACAGAGGCCCCACGCGAUGGUAGCCAAAGGGUCCUUACUUGAAAUAUAGAAAAGAGUAGCUAGAACAAGGGACCACUGGAGAGAUGGAAACUCCAACCCAGGUAUACUGGAGCACCUCAGCCCCUUGAUUCCCUCCUGCAGAGGGCAGGGAUAUUUCACCUGUCGGUGCUGGCAACAACUGGACCAAAAGCUAGUGCCCCAGAUGCAGGAAGGCAGGUCUUAGAGGCUAUGCACAAGGAGAGAGAGUCUUGACAGAAGCAACCAUGGAGUGCUAAAGGUUCAGUAGCCUCGGGUGGUCCCUAGGUCAAAAUCUGAGAGCGAAUAGGAAAGCCAAAAAAAGACAAGCAACUGGAGCAAACCAACCUACAUUCAUGUCUGUGUUCAGCCAACUGGGAGAAUGAGUUUAACAAUUUUCCACAGUCGGUUUGGCCAUUCUUAUGUCUUGGGCUACUUCCUGAUCGGGGCUAUUAGAAAUAACACUGCUAAGACCAAUCUUGAACAAGCCUUUUUGUUUUUAUUUCUCUUGGGUAAAUUCAGGAAUAGAAUUGUUGGAUCAUAAGGUCAGUUUAUGUCGAGUUUCUUUAUAUUUAGCAUUUUUAUGGUGGUAAAUUACACAUAAAAUUUACCACCUUAACCUUUUUUGGUUUUGGUACUGGGGUUAGAACUCGGGACCUUGCACUUGCGAGGCAGGCGCCGGAACCACUGAGCUAAAUCCCCGGCCCUGCCUUAACCAUUUUUAAAGUGUGUGAUUCAGUGACAUUUUAUACAUUCACAAUGUUAUGUAACCAUCACCACUAUUAUUUUAAUUGUGGUAAAAUAUACACAACAUAAAAUCUACCAUUUUAACCAUUUUUAAGUGUACAAUUUAGUGGUAUUAAAUAUAUUUACAUUGUUGUACAGUCAUGAGCACUCCCCAACGGCCCAUUUUCAUUAUCCCCCUCUAAAACUCUGUACUCAUUGAACAAUGACACCCCAUUUCCUCCCUGCUCCAGCCCUAGUAACCACUAUUCUAUGCCCUGUCCCUACAAAUUUGACUAUUUCAGGUGUUCAUGCAGGUGGAAUAAUACAGUGUUUGUCUUAUUUCAUUAUUGUAUUUUAAAGCCAUAUCCAUACUAUAUGCAUGUAUCAAAAUUUCAUUUGUUUAAAGCUGGACAAUAUUCCAUUGUAUGUACACACCAUAUUUGAAUUAUACAUUCAUCUGGCAGUGAACAUUUGGGUUGUUUCCAUCUUUUGUUUCUGUGAAUAAUGCUGCUGUGAACAUUGGUGUACAAACAUCUGUCUGAGUCUCUGCUUUCAAUUCCUUUGGGCAUCUUUCUCAAAGUGUUCACUCUGUUUAACUUUUUAAUGAAUUCCAUACUGUUUGCUGCAGCAGCUGUACCAUUUAACAUUCUCACUAACAAUGCACAGGGAUUCCAGUUUUCCCACAUCCUCACCAAUACCUGGGACUUACUGUUUUGGUUUUGUUGUUGCUGCUGUUGCUAUUUUU